UGUAAUAAAGCUGACUCUCAGGCAGUGGAGGGGCCAGGAUAGUCACUGUUACCUAAGGAACUGAUCCGAAUUCAUCUGAAUACAAAGCACUUCCCAGUAAAUCGAAAGCUAUGAAGAAAGUUUUUCUAAGGAAGAAAUCUAGGCUAUCAGUAGCCAUAUGGGGGGAGGGAGGGUGAUGCUUAGAUUCAGGAAAAUGCAAAUUUGAAAAAACUCAGGGUCUACCUUCCACCCAUCACAUUAUCAAAGAUGGCAAAAAGAGGAUGUUGGAUGGGUUGACGGAAAACAACCAUGCAGAUACACCGUUAUGGAAAUGGGAAUUGGUCCAGCCAUUUGGGAAAGCAGUUUGGAUUGAGGCCCACCACUCCCCUUUCUCCCCCAUUGCUAAACAGCGUACUCUUUGACCCAGCAAUACCACAAGGCCCCGACCCUCAGAGAAAGAGGACAAGGACCCUUAUGUCUAAGGGUGUUGAGAGCAGUUCUUUUUGGGAUGGCAAAGGACUGAAAGCUAAGGGGUUGCCCAUCAGUGGAAAAUGGCUGAAGCGAGCUGUGGUGGAUAUGUGUGAUGGAGCACUCUUUUGCUACAAGAAAUGAUGAAGGGAAAUUUGAACAAACUGGUUCAAAGUGAAGGGAGCCCAACUAGGAGAACAAUUUAUAUAGUGGCAUUAUAAAGACAACUCUGAAAGACUUCAGAACUUGAUCAAAGAAAUGACCAUGAGGACUUGAUAAGGCAUACUGCUCACCUCCUAACAGAAAAGUCAUACACUCAAGAUGAAGUGGAAGAUAUCCAUUUUCAGAUAGAACCAUUGGGGAAUUGUGUGUAUUGUUUCACUCUGCACGUUUGUUAAAAGCAAUUUUUCUUUUUUUUUUUUUUUCAAAGGGAGGGGAAAGGGGAGUUAGGACUGUUUUGCUCUCCCAACCCGGCCCCUGCAAAAAGAAAAGUAGAAGGGGGAAAGAAGGUUACUGAAGCAUUUUUUUUUAAUGCUCAGAGAAAAAUGGAAGGAAGGAAUCACAAACAGGGAAGCUUUGAUACAUAUUUUGAAUUUAUUGUGUACAUAAAAAGAAAAACAAAUUAUUUUGUAAUCAGAGUUUCACACAGCAUCCACCUUUUCUAUUGUGUUGUGUAUUUGGACACGCCCAUUUUGGUUGGUGUUUUUCAAGUUAAAAUAAAAAAUAAUUUUUAGAAAUCAUACAGUUAAAAUGAGAAGUGAAACAGUUAAUUGGAGGGAAAAAAUCUUUGCAGCAAGUUUCUCUAAUCAAGAUCUGAUAGAGGCAAGAUAAAUAAAGCACCGAUUCAGAUAAAGGAGAAGUAUGUAAGUCUAGAAAUGGUGAAAGGAUUUUGACAGGCAAGUCUUAAAGGAAAAAAAAGCUAUCAACAAACAUGGGAAAAUGCUCCGAGUCACUAAUAAUUAGAAAAGUGCCCAUUUUGAAAACUCUGACAUUCGAUCACACACCUACCAGAUGGACAAAGAUGACAGAAAAGGAAAAUGAGUUGUUGGAGGGCCUGAAAGAAAAUGGGUACACUGGUCCAGCCAUUAGGAAAAAUGAUUUGGAACUAUGCCCCCAAAGCCACUAAACUGCACAUACUCUGAUACAGUGCUAUACCAACUAGGUCUGUGCCCUCAAAGACAGAGGAAAAGGUCUUCUAUGUACAAAAAUAUUUAUAGCAGCAAUUUUGUUGCAGUGAAGAACUGAAAACAAAGAGGGUGGCCAUCAAUUGGGGAAUAGCUGAACAAAUGAUGGUGUGUUGAGUGUAAUGCGAGAUUAUUGUGCUGUAAGAAAUGAUGAAACAGACUUUCAGAAAAACGUGGGAAGAUGGAUUCAGACUAAAGUGAGCAAUACUGGGAGUUCAGUUUAUACAGUAACAGCAUCAUGGCAAAGAUAAAAAUGACUUUCAAAGAUUUUAGAACUCUCAUUCAGUGCAAUGACCAACAGGAUUCCAAGCCUGCCACCUACCUCUUGACCGACACGAUGGAUUUAGGAAGCAGAAUGAGACCUACUUUGUUGCACGUGUUUUACGAGAGGAUUUAUUUGCCUUGACUUAUUCUUGACUAUUUGUUUGGCUGACAAAAUAACGCCAGCAAAUGCUAAGGCUUCACUAUGUGCCAGGCACUGUGCUUAGUUCUGAAGAUAUAAAGACUAAGUACCUGAUGAGGAAGAUGUGGGUUCUUCUUUUGCUGGUUUGUUUUUCUUGUUUUUUGUUUUUUAAAAGACUGAGGCCUUUAUCCCAUAUCAAUCAAUAGUAUAAUAUGAUAGCCAAAAAAGUUAACAUAAUCUUAUUACAUUAAAAAGACCGUGUCCAAUACUAGGAGUCCCAUCUUCUGCUCUCUUCAAAUGACAUAAAACAAUAGAUUUAGGCCCCAAAGGGACCUUUGAGGCCAUCUAACAUUGAACAGACUCCCACCUUUUACAGAUGAGGAGGGAAAAGGACUCCCUGAGAUUGCAUGGCAAGGGAAAGAAAUGGAAUUUGAGGCCCACUCUCCUAAUUCCCAUCUGCAGCUAGUACCAGCAAACCCAUACAAUGUGUUUAGUGGGGGUAGAGGGUGUCACAUUUCAGAAAGGACACUGACUAGCUAGCGUGUGACCAGGAUGGCAUGCGGGGUGCUGAGAGCUCUGCCUUUGUUUUCUGGUGGAUCCAAAACAGCAUGGGGAGAGCUCAUUUGGGGUUAUUUUUGUACACAGAAUGAGUGAAUUUUAAAAUAUACCACCCUAUUAAAUGAAAUUAAAUGGAUUUAUGUUAUUUGCAGCAGAGCUGACAAGAGAAAUACCAUCUCUUUCUUUUCUCAUUUGGUGGUUAAUCAUGAAACUGGAACAAGGGUAAUUUUGCCUUCUGGGAGGGGGUGGUGUUACUCCACAAAACAUUGUUCCUAGCUGCAUUGAUGAAGUGCUGACAUCAAAGAGCGUGAACUUGGGGAAGAGGAUGGGGUAUUCCGGUGGGGCCUGGACACAAAACUGCCUGGAUUGGGGAGAUCUGCUUAUUUUAAUUUCUUCGACCUUCCCCCCACUCCAGGCACACAUACACAUGGUAAGGAAGAUUCAAGCCUCUGUCUUUAAUAAGUUCAGAAGAUAGUAAAUCUUAGUAAUGAGAAAACUGCAUCUGCUAGACAUGACACACUGUAUGUGGUCUGAUAAAUUACACUUGAAAUUAUCUUUUUGGUGUUCUUCAGUAUAAAUUUGUCAUGCCCAAUUUCCAUAGUUAAUUCAAUUCAACUAGCCUUUAUUAAACACAGCACCCUUUGCUGCGCCUCAGUUUCCUGAUGUAUAAAAUAAGGGAGUUGGGGGGGCCCUUAAGGACACUUCCAACUUGAAACCUGUGAUCCCACUUAAAUUCUUCUUUUCUUUUUAAAGUCUGGAAAAUUAUUUUAUAAUAUGUUUGAACAAAAAAAUCUCCCUAUUUUCCUCCUCUUAAACAAAAACAAAGCCUAUUAUUAUCAUAAUUUUACAUAGUCCAGCAAAACAAUUCUCACAUCCUAGGACUAGAGGUGGAUGCCUCUCUGCAUUUUAAGACCAUUGCCUCUCUGGCAGGAGGAGAGUGAUGUGUUUCAUCUUCAGUGCUCUGAACUCCUGGUUUAUUGUGGUAUUUAUCAGAGUUUUCAAGUCUUUCCAGGUUUUUCACUACAACGUUGCUUUCGUUGUCAAAAUUGUUUUACUGGUUCUGCUCAUGUCACUCUUCGUCAGUUCAUAGAGGUCGUUCCAGUUUCCUCUAAAACUAUCCAUUUUGUCAUAUCUUAUGGCACAGUAGUAUUCUAUCACAUAAUUUGUUCAGUCAUUCCCUGAUUGAUGAGCACUGCAUCAAUAUCCAAUUCUCUGCCACCCCAGAAAGAGCUGUGAUAAAUAUUUUGGUAUAUAAGGUUCCUUUUCUUCAGUCUCUGGAAUAUAGGCCUAGGAGUGGUUUACCUGGUUCAAAGGGUAUGUGUGCAUUGUUCAGGGACAUUUUAGUCAUGAUUCCAAAUUAGUACCACUGAGAUUCAUAACUUGUGUUUUGCAGCUCCUUCUCAGAAAAAUAUUUUUAAAUCAUUGAAGAAAAUGGCUGAAUUUCAAUUUAGAGGCUAGUGAAAAUGAAGGUAAGAUUUUUUUUUUUCUUCUGUGCAGUCUCAUGGAGUCCCUCAAAUAUGUAUAUGAACCCCAGAUUAUGAACUUCUGCUCUACUCAAGAUAAAUGUCCCAGGAACUCCUCAAGCUAGAUUUUUUUUUUUUUUUUUUUUUGGCUUUACCAUCCCCAAAAUUCUCUCUUGCAGAGUGGAUCUUGGUUUGACAUGCUCCAACUUGGGAGCAAGAUGAAAAAGAAUUAGUUAGAAUUUCCAGCUGGGGAAAGAACAGGCCCACUCCUUAGCUUUCCCCAGAGAUAAUUGACCUUCUUCCCAAAUUGUACAUCCUUGAAAAGCUAGAUAGGUGCAAUAAGAAAAGGUGCCCUCAGCAGCUCUGAUCAAAGAUAGGAUGCUAAUGAGAUUGUGGGAUUGUGGGCUUAGUGGAGAGGCUGGAUGUAAAAGUAAACUGCAUCUUGAAUAUUGACUUUGGCCCCACCUCUUGAGAAGCUGAUGAUGAGGUGGUGUCCAGACGAGGACAACCAGGAUGGUAAAGGGUCUUGAGUCACCCAGUUGGAGGAAGAGGUGGAGAGGAGAGUGGCUAGCUUUUCAUAUAACUACAGGACAGUUUUGUGGAGAAGGGAUUAGGCUUGUCUUGCUUGUCUCCAAAGGGCAGAAGAGGCAAAUUUAGAUUAAGCAGACUUCCUAACCAUUGGAACCAUCCCAAAGUGCAAUCACCCACCCUUUGGAGGUUUUCAGAUAGAGGUCAAAUAACCACUUACUGAGUUCUUUCUCUGAUAUAGUAGGUUAGACAAGAUGGAUAACUCUGAAUUUUUGUGGUACUGUGAAUUUCCAGGCCCAACCCCAGCCCCAAUUCUUACCCUUCUUUGAGGGGCUGUGGCCAAAUGUGAAAGUCUGGCCAGUAGGGGAGUAGGAAAAGGAACUAGACAAAGGAAACUGUGGCCUUGCCCAACUGAAUAAAAGUCCAUCUGGACUGCACACAUUCACUUCACACUGAAUUAAGCUUGAGGUCAAGGAGAAUAGGGAAAGUAGAACUGCCCAAGUGCCUCUCCAUUGGAUAGAAACUCCAGCUUCUGGGCCACUGUUGCAGGCAGUCGGGGAGAGCCUCUGUUUUGGUCUUCAUCUGGGACAAAAUCAAAUUCAGUCACUAGGGUAGGAUGAUUUAGAGUCCCCAGCGUGUUUUUCUGAUCAUGAUCUUGAGAGAAGGAGUUAGCAACUUUUUUUUUUUUACAGAUGAGAAGAGUAGGAAGAGCAUAAGACUUGAUUAAAUGUGGGCUCUGCAACUAAGUGGCUCUGUGAUCUGGGCAAAACCCUUCCAGCGCCAAGCCUAGGAUCCACAAUCCACCAGCCAGGACUGGAUUCCUGGUUUCCUAACUCCCCCGUUUUCCCAGAAGAUCUCUUUGGAGGCUUGCAGACAUUAAGAAGACACUGAGUCAUAGGCAGCUGCACCCCUAGUUUACUUCUAUUCAACUGGAAGUGAAGGAUAAGUAAGUGCUAGAAAGUAAACAACUAUUGGCCCCGGCAAAUAAGCAUCCCCUAGGCCAUUACUUUCACCCCUCAAUUUACUGAGCAAAUUAUGAGAUCCUCCCAGGUUUCUUUUUACUAGAGAACUCCUGGAGGGAUUCCCCCACAGUCUCCCCAGAAUUCCACCUGUGGAGGGGUGGAGGUGUUAACUUUAAAUUAUGGCCAUUUACUUUCAUUUUCACCCAAUGGGGGGGGGGGGGAUUUGUAUUGACUGAAAAAGCAUUUAAGUGCUUACAAAUGCAGGCAAGCUAGAUGGUCCCUGCCCUCCAGGGACAUGCUUUCUAUAAGGGGGGAAAUUAGACCCUUGGGAGAGUUUGUGAAUGAGGAGGGGAGGGGAGGAGGUUGCUUGACUUGGAAAUGACCAGGAAGUGACUAGGAGGCCCUUUUAGGGCAAAAUCUGGUGAAAGCCCUGGAUUUUAGGGCUGAAUCCUGGUAGUUGGAGUGGGAGGGACUUAAAGCUACUGUAAUUUGUCUUAAAACAAUGAAAAGAAUUUAAAAGAAAUUCCUUGCCCUUAGGUGAGGCUUGACUCUAGAUCCAGAAUCUAUUACUGAAAUUACAAAUCACCCAAUUUUGUUAGCCAGGGUUGGAGAUCUAAAGACCAGCUGCCUUUGAUCUUUAUAAUCCCAGAAAGUAGAUGCCAUUUGUCCCAUUUUACAGAUUGAAGAAACCGAUUCUUCCCAUUUGAAGUGACUUGCUCAGGAUUCCAUAGCCAGUAACUGGCAGGAUUUCAGCUCAGACCUUCUCAAAAAUCUCAUUCUUCUCCUAGGGACCCAAACCACAGUGUCGAUUGUAAUGGAAAGUUUGACUCCUUUGCAAAAUGACAGUCUCACAACAGUGGUUUGCCAUUAUGGUGAGGAAGGACUGGCUGAAAGAGGCACAAGCACUGAGCUCUCCGUUUCUCUCUCCAACAUCCUUUUUUUUGUCAUCUGCCAAUGCGAUGGAUGUGUGAAGGCCAGGACAAAACCAGGAAUAGGAAAAAGGAGUAAGAAAAAGGACCUUGAAAGGAAAGGGCUGCCGGUCCCCCCUCUCACGAGUCAGUACUCUCAACCUCAGGCUUGGCCUGGAAUUCACAGAAUAACCUUGCUGCUUGCUGACUUGGCUUCCUUUCUUCCGGCCUGGGGAAAAGAGACCCUUCCUUGUAAAGGAAGGCCCUUCACACCCAUGAAGAGAGCUGAUAAAAUGCCAGGACUGGAACCCAGAUUUGCAGACUCCAGAUCUAAUGCCCUUUCGGUAAAUGUGACUAACCAGAGAGGAACGAAGCGGCGGCUGCAAACACCAUCAAGGCACUUUGGGAGUCAGUAUGUGAGUAUGCUCUCAUAUUGCAGGCUACCAAGGGCAGGGGAAUCAUACUUUUCACUUCUGGAGAGAGCCCCUACUCCCUGGACACCCACAAACGUCCCCAAGCGAACCAAAGGAUAAGAAAGCACCAAGAAUCAUUAGCAAAGCUGAGCUGUAGUCUUCAGGAGGACCGUACCCCUUAGCCUAGAAUUGUCCGUGCUAAGGUUGUGUCAACCAGUUUGGACUUCUCCCACCCUUGUCAGCUUUCGUUGGUGUGUGGUAAAAUUUCUUGAGGGCAGGGACUUUCAUAUUACUAUCAUCCUCAGGGGACAGCUAGAUGGUACAGUGGAUAGAGAGUUGGAUUUGGAAUCCACCCCUUUGGUUCCAAUCUGGUGUCUGACACUGUGUCAGAGCUGUGUGACUCUGGGUGAGUCACUUAGCCCCUUUUGCUUCAGUUCCUAUAUCUGAAAAAUGAGCUGGAGAAGGAACUGUCAAAUCACUUGGCAAAUCUUUGCCAAGAAAACCCCAAACGGGGUCUUGAAGUGACACAACUGGACAAGUCAUCCCCUGAUGUGAAGUGCCAAAUACUUGGGUGAUUCAUAAAUGUUUCUUGGGGUAUUAGCCCUUAGUGGCCUGGAGAGGGUCUGCCCAUAGCCUUCUGGCUCAGGUUUCACUGCCCAAGUGAAGUUUGUGCUUGGCGCUGUCACUUCCUCUGUCAUACCAGUCAAUUA